CCAUGUGAUGAGUCUAAGGCGAAUGUGACCUGCUUCCUCCUGACCUUACCCCUUUGCACCCCCACCCUUCUGGUCAGGGUGGGGGUUGUCUGUACUGAUCUGUGAUCUUGGUAGGGGGGAGGGAGCUCCCCCCCCCACCGUAAAGACAGAUCUAUAUCAAACUUCAGCCCCCCCAUACCCAGCCACAGCGUCCAGAGGCCCCAGUACCCUGCGGUCUGGGAAAGUGGGCACAUGCCUGCUUGGGGGUCAAAGGUCAGGGUGACGGGAAGUUGAAAUGAGCACUAGUUCUCGAAAUCUGAUG